GACGAACGCUGGCGGCGUGCUUAACACAUGCAAGUCGAACGGAGCACCCCUGAAGGAGUUUUCGGACAACGGAAGGGAAUGCUUAGUGGCGGACUGGUGAGUAACGCGUGAGGAACCUGCCUUUCGGAGGGGGACAACAGUUGGAAACGACUGCUAAUACCGCAUGACGCAUUUGGAUCGCAUGGUCUGAAUGUCAAAGAUUUAUCGCCGAAAGAUGGCCUCGCGUCUGAUUAGCUUGUUGGUGAGGUAACGGCCCACCAAGGCGACGAUCAGUAGCCGGACUGAGAGGUUGGCCGGCCACAUUGGGACUGAGAUACGGCCCAG
rnacentral:rRNA from 1 species